CGCCAUCUGCUGCGGUUCUUCAUGGCUGGU
rnacentral:piRNA from 1 species